rnacentral:rRNA from 1 species
UACGUAGGCAGCGAGCGUUGUUCGGAAUUACUGGGCGUAAAGAGUGUGUAGGCGGUGCUCCAAGUCUGUUGUGAAAUCUCCGGGCUUAACUCGGAACGGUCAAGUGAUACUGUCGUGCUAGAGUACAGAAGGGGCAACUGGAAUUCUCGGUGUAGCGGUGAAAUGCGUAGAUAUCGAGAGGAACACCUGCGGCGAAGGCGGGUUGCUGGGCUGAUACUGACGCUGGUGCGCGAAAGCCAGGGGAGCGAACGGG